CGCUUUUUCUUUCACCGGAGCUUGCUCCACCGAAAGAAAAAGAGUGGCGAACGGGUGAGUAACACGUGGGUAACCUGCCCAUCAGAAGGGGAUAACACUUGGAAACAGGUGCUAAUACCGUAUAACACUAUUUUCCGCAUGGAAGAAAGUUGAAAGGCGCUUUUGCGUCACUGAUGGAUGGACCCGCGGUGCAUUAGCUAGUUGGUGAGGUAACGGCUCACCAAGGCAACGAUGCAUAGCCGACCUGAGAGGGUGAUCGGCCACACUGGGACUGAGACACGGCCCAGACUCCUACGGGAGGCAGCAGUAGGGAAUCUUCGGCAAUGGACGAAAGUCUGACCGAGCAACGCCGCGUGAGUGAAGAAGGUUUUCGGAUCGUAAAACUCUGUUGUUAGAGAAGAACAAGGAUGAGAGUAAAAUGUUCAUCCCUUGACGGUAUCUAACCAGAAAGCCACGGCUAACUACGUGCCAGCAGCCGCGGUAAUACGUAGGUGGCAAGCGUUGUCCGGAUUUAUUGGGCGUAAAGCGAGCGCAGGCGGUUUCUUAAGUCUGAUGUGAAAGCCCCCGGCUCAACCGGGGAGGGUCAUUGGAAACUGGGAGACUUGAGUGCAGAAGAGGAGAGUGGAAUUCCAUGUGUAGCGGUGAAAUGCGUAGAUAUAUGGAGGAACACCAGUGGCGAAGGCGGCUCUCUGGUCUGUAACUGACGCUGAGGCUCGAAAGCGUGGGGAGCGAACAGGAUUAGAUACCCUGGUAGUCCACGCCGUAAACGAUGAGUGCUAAGUGUUGGAGGGUUUCCGCCCUUCAGUGCUGCAGCAAACGCAUUAAGCACUCCGCCUGGGGAGUACGACCGCAAGGUUGAAACUCAAAGGAAUUGACGGGGGCCCGCACAAGCGGUGGAGCAUGUGGUUUAAUUCGAAGCAACGCGAAGAACCUUACCAGGUCUUGACAUCCUUUGACCACUCUAGAGAUAGAGCUUCCCCUUCGGGGGCAAAGUGACAGGUGGUGCAUGGUUGUCGUCAGCUCGUGUCGUGAGAUGUUGGGUUAAGUCCCGCAACGAGCGCAACCCUUAUUGUUAGUUGCCAUCAUUUAGUUGGGCACUCUAGCGAGACUGCCGGUGACAAACCGGAGGAAGGUGGGGAUGACGUCAAAUCAUCAUGCCCCUUAUGACCUGGGCUACACACGUGCUACAAUGGGAAGUACAACGAGUUGCGAAGUCGCGAGGCUAAGCUAAUCUCUUAAAGCUU
rnacentral:rRNA from 1 species